rnacentral:lncRNA from 1 species
CAGUUAUUAUUUUUAAUAACUUUUACCUAUUAGAAAAUGAUAGAGUGUGAGAAAGAGAGCGAGCAAGCAAGGGAUCCAUUGGCUGGUUCACUGUCCAAAUGCCUACCUCAGAGGUCCAAAGCCGGUAGCUGGGAACUCAAUCCAGAUCUUCCACUUGAGGAAAGCACCACAUUUAUUUGCUCCAUCACUGGUGACUCCAAGCGUAUUUCUUGGCAAGAAGCUGCAGUCAUUAGGCAGAUUUGGGAACUAAACACAUGUACUCUCAGGUGAGAUGUGGGAAUCAUAACACAUUUUAACUGGUAGACUAAAUACUCACACCUCAUUUAACGAUUCUUCUACCACCAGGAAGUCUUUGAGGUAAAUUGCUUACUGUCUUUAAGCAAGCCACAGGGCUAGUAUCUGUUGCAUAUGCAGGAAAGCUCUGUGGUGAUGCAAUUUUUAUUUCCUGAAAGAAAAUAGUUACUACUUGCCACAAUGUUAGAAAUAUUUACAAAGUUGCUAGCCCAUGAAACUCUUGGCUGGAGGAGGACUUGAGCCUAUUUAAAAACCUUUGUAUUAUUUUUCAAGCCUGAACCUAUAAUAAAUGUUUUACCCAACAGUCCUUGCUGGGGAAAAGCUACACUUAGCUAUACCAGACUUAGUAUACAAUCAUGCAAGAUCCCUACAUUUCUGGCAUGGACAUAGUCCAGUGUUACGACCUUUACGAGAGUCAGGCGAGUAUCCGACAGUAGACCACCUCUCAGAUAGCAGUCGCUGUGAGGAAUUUUCGUUCCACGUCUUACCUCAGAAUUUGGAAGGCCGAUGUGUGGAUGGAGAUCACAGAGUGUUCAGUAGCAUGGAAGGAGUUCCGGAGGAGUGCUUUGUGACCAGCAGAAAUCCAGGACCCCAGAGCACUGGGGGACACUGGAUUACCAAUAUGAGGCUAUCCUAGUCAUGGCACCAAUGUUAUAUAUUAAUGUUAGCCAUCGCAAAACACACCAGACACAGGAGUAAGGGAAAGGGUUUAUUGGGGAACACCCAACUGACCAGAGUGAAGGGGCGGUGAAGGGAAAGAUAAAGUAUAAGAGAGAAAGGAGAGGAGCUAGUGAGGAGAGAAGAUAGAGCAGAGAAGAGAGGAGGAGAGGAGAGCAGAAAAUAAUUUACAUUUAAUCAUCUACAUUUUGGAUUAUUGUGCACCCACCUCAAGAGAUAGGCUCUUUAAGUCCUCAGUGAGGAUCUGUCCAAAUAGGUGCAGGACUAUCUAAGUUAACUGUUACUGAAAGCCCUGUUUUUAGGAGCUGCCAGGGAGGGCUUUCUAAGCUGAAUACUAUUUGGAUAGACUUUUAAGGCGUGGCUGGGUAUGUGAAGCCCAGACCUAUCCAUGGGGUGCUAGAAGAGAAUUGCAAGAGAGAUGUGCAUCUCCUUAAGGGUGGCACCCUGUUGACUCCCAUUAUGUGGCUGGACUAGGAGGAGAGCUGAUUAGGAAGCUAGUACAAAGAGGAGGCUGGUAAAAAUAGGCAACUUAUGUUUCACUGACCCUAGGACAUCCCCUCAAUAGCAGUGGCUAGAGCUGGAAGCUUGCAGAGGAUGGGCAGUCAAAGGCUUUUUAGCUUGGGGCCACAGAGUCUGUGGAUCUGAACCAGGAGUCCUUUGACACCCAGGGCAGUUUCAUGUGCAAUGGUCUUGCUCUUGGCCGAGCUGACAGAAGCCAGUUUCUGUCACAACAGCUGCUUGCCCAAUGCCCUGGCUCCUCAUAACAGAAACAGGUGCCGUUUGGGGUUGAAUGGCUUUGUUGGGUCUUUUUGAUGGCAGAUCACUGUGAAAAGCAGCCAUUGAUUGGCCUGUUGCCUAUCCUUACAUUGCUCCUGCUGUGAGAUUGCUCCUCGUUCUUCAGGUCUCUAAUAAAGUAGACCAUGGAGGCA